UCAUUUCUGACUUUUCUCCUAACUUUACUUUCUCUUCAAGGCUUCGGUUCUUCAGACACAAAUUCUCUUACCACUGGGGUUUUCCCGAAUCUGAACCCAGUGGCCAAGAAGAGAUGACUGGCAUGGGCACCGUAAGGGAAGGAGAAGGGUUGGACCUCUAGCUUCCAGCCGGGGAUUGCCUGUGGUCCUGAGCCGAUGAGAGAUGCCCAUGGGAGGUUAUCGUGUGUUGCACAUACUACAAGGAAACAGGGCUAAGACAAAGACAAAGACAAAAACAGAAGAAACUGAAGGCCUCUUCCGAGAAGUUAUAAGGGGGUCAAGAGAGGUCCUUAAUUGAACACUGGAGAUCAAGGCUGGAGAAAAGCCGCAGACCAGGACCCUUGACAAAUCUGAUCAGAUUUGGCACACAGCUAAGAAAGUUAAAAGACUCAGAGUCCGUGAAUUCUCCAGAAGCCUAAGGAGGACCAGGCUUACACUAAAUAAAGGACCCCAGCACAGGUAACGAAGACACUGGUUUACGCCUAGGUGCUGGCAUUUCUCUGGCUUUAACCCCAACUGCAUAUCUUAUUUAAAAAUAAUA